GAUGAACGCUGGCGGCGUGCCUAAUACAUGCAAGUCGAGCGAACAGACGAGGAGCUUGCUCCUCUGACGUUAGCGGCGGACGGGUGAGUAACACGUGGAUAACCUACCUAUAAGACUGGGAUAACUUCGGGAAACCGGAGCUAAUACCGGAUAAUAUAUUGAACCGCAUGGUUCAAUAGUGAAAGACGGUUUUGCUGUCACUUAUAGAUGGAUCCGCGCUGCAUUAGCUAGUUGGUAAGGUAACGGCUUACCAAGGCAACGAUGCGUAGCCGACCUGAGAGGGUGAUCGGCCACACUGGAACUGAGACACGGUCCAGACUCCUACGGGAGGCAGCAGUAGGGAAUCUUCCGCAAUGGGCGAAAGCUUGACGGAGCAACGCCGCGUGAGUGAUGAAGGUCUUCGGAUCGUAAAACUCUGUUAUUAGGGAAGAACAAAUGCGUAAGUAACUAUGCACGUCUUGACGGUACCUAAUCAGAAAGCCACGGCUAACUACGUG
rnacentral:rRNA from 1 species